GCUGUGAGAAAGGAAGGCGAGAAUGCGCUUGGUGGCAUGCUUAAAAAUGUCAUUGGAACUCUUGAUUUUCGUUUCAAGUACAUGUUACAGGGGGAGACUUAUCCUGAGGAAUUUUUAUAGCCAGCUGUGAAUAUGUUUAGCACCUUCAAAAGAAGGGGACCUCAGAAACAUGGCAUAAUCUCAAACAUGAUUGUUGCCAAAAGUGCACGUCAACAAGGUACAAAGCAGUUAUACUUACAUGUCUGUCGGGAUAACAAGCCAGCAUUAGCA